UUUUUUUUUUUUUUUUUGGUCACAUACCUGAAAGCUGACUUUACUUAUAAAUGAGUGUUUGAACUCUCUGGAGAACUACUUCCUUGGUUUUUCAUGGGAGCAAAUAUAUUGUCCUGAUAGACAAUAUAUGUUCAGGACAGGCAUAGAUAUUCCUGUUCAGAACAGGCAUAUUCUCUCCCCAUUCAGGAAGUUGGUGGGUUUUCAGCAUGUGAAUAUUGACUGUGUUGUCUUUUCUCAUUUUUUACUUACUACUUGUUUUUCCUCUUCUUCCACAGCAAUCAAUCAAUAAGAACAAGUCCCAGGACUUCAGACUAGGCUCAGAAUCUAUGACACAUUCUGAAAUGAGAAAAGAACAGAGCCAUGAGGACCAAGGACACAUAAUGGAUACACGGAUGAGGAAGAACAAGCAAGCAGGCAGAAAAGUCACUCUAAUAGAGUAAAGAAUUGAAGAAAAGUUAAGAGCUGCCGAAAUGCACAGAGGUGAAAAUGACAAACCAAAUGGAAUUUCUCUUCAGAGUUCAGAAUUUUCAGAUACUAAGGAGGAAGAAAGGAUCCACUACUUCUUGUUCUUAUGAAUGACUCUAGAAAAAUCAGAAUCAAGUUGUGGGUGGAAAAAUCAACGUGGCCUUUGAGUUCAGUUGUUAUAAACCAUUGUGACUAUUGUUGGUCAAAGUAUUGGUACUUAUAUUGUUAGUAAUUGCAUCAUAAUUACAUUACCAGUGUUGGAAAACUAAUGAAGAAAACACUGUAAUUGCUACUCAGCAAAUGUGAAUAAAAGGUGUUUGCGUUAUUAGGAUGUCUGUUAAGUAAUCAUUUAAUAUUAUUAUAUUGGUAAUGGUUGUAUGUGUGAUGCUAUGCCCAGAAUAUGAAGUAUCUGUUUUUGAAAUUCACUUUAUUUAA
rnacentral:lncRNA from 1 species